GUGUCAGCAGCCGCGGUAAUACGUAGGGUGCGAGCGUUAAUCGGAAUUACUGGGCGUAAAGCGUGCGCAGGCGGUCCGUUGUGUCCGAUGUGAAAGCCCCGGGCUUAACCUGGGAAUGGCAUGGGAAACUGGCGGGCUGGAGUGUGGCAGAGGGGGGUGGAAUUCCGCGUGUAGCAGUGAAAUGCGUAGAGAUGCGGAGGAACACCGAUGGCGAAGGCAGCCCCCUGGGCCAACACUGACGCUCAGGCACGAAAGCGUGGGGAGCAAACAGGAUUAGAUACCCCGGUAGUCC
rnacentral:rRNA from 1 species